CAGUAGCCGCGGUAAUACAGAGGGUGCGAGCGUUAAUCGGAUUUACUGGGCGUAAAGCGUGCGUAGGCGGCUUCUUAAGUCGGAUGUGAAAUCCCUGAGCUUAACUUAGGAAUUGCAUUAGAUACUGGGAAGCUAGAGUAUGGGAGAGGAUGGUAGAAUUCCAGGUGUAGCGGUGAAAUGCGUAGAGAUCUGGAGGAAUACCGAUGGCGAAGGCAGCCAUCUGGCCUAAUACUGACGCUGAGGUACGAAAGCAUGGGGAGCAAACAGGAUUAGAUACCCCUGUAGUCCCUGUCUCUUAUAC
rnacentral:rRNA from 1 species